AUGGGGAGCCGCCCGGGCCGAGGCCAGGUGCCCUUCCGGUCAGUCCUCCAGGAGCUGGUUGACUUCUCAGCAUCCUGAUUCUUUGGAAAGACAGUUUAAAAAGUUGUUUAGUUUCCUAGGACAUUCUCGCUGCGACUGUUGAAAGUCGGACAGCACCCGCCUUGUGCUCACCCCGCCGGGAUACACGGGGACGGUUCCUUUCCAAGGAGGCCCGGGGCCGCCUCUGCGCCGGGACAGCCUGGGAAGCCGCGCAGGCCUGGCCGACUUCCCCUUCCCAGCCCCGCUGCGCCCUGCGGGGCCCUGUCGGCGGUGGGGGCUGCGGACCCGGGAGCGCGCGGCCGCGCUGCACGUGCAGGGACCGGUAGGCGCCGGGGUCAGCGCCAGCGUUUGAUGUGCGGCGGGGAGCGGGCCGAGCCCCGGGAGGCCGCUUCGCACCUCCCAGUGUGUCCGGGUUGAGCGCGAGGUCAGGAGGGGACGCAGAGUUCACGGCGAAGACGGAUCGCGGGGGCUCGUCCCGCCCGGGUUGCGCGCAGCGGGGGCCGCGUGAUGGAUGGGCCGGGCCGGGCACCCGGGAACCCGCGAGCGCGGGGCUGGGCUCUGGGCUGCGUCCGGGGGCCCCGACUUGGUUAUUGAUCGGCCCAAGCGCAGGAGAACUGACUCUAUAAUGCAUCGCCUGACCAGGAAAAGUGUUUGCUUUUGUGGGAGCAAAAGACAACUUUCUGCCCCGCCAGAGCGUUGCUAAGUGAGCGGUAAUGACCACGCUAGAAAUUUCAUAGGGAGAGGCUAAUGGCAGGCUGACUCUAAAAGUGCUUUUAAGUGCAACUUCUGUCUAAUCCCUUGAGGGGGAAGAAAACAUCGGCGACUAAGAAAGUUCAAGUUGUACAGGACCCGGGUUUUUGGGGUCGGGGUCACUUCUGCUCUGCGUGACUUUGAAGAGGAAGACCUGCGGUUUUUUCCAGUGGAUUUUCACACGUGUUUUAAAGAGAACUCCCGGCUCCUGAAAUGAAAGGCCCGCCUGUAGGGUUUUGCUGCCUCCCCUCUGCCCACGCCCCACCCCCACAGCCUGGAUCAAAGCGAUCAGACAAAUUAUUCAGAAGUAACACAGCCCUGAAAUGUUCCUAAACGUGACUAUUUGAGGCGAUGAAUCAAGCGUGUUCCCUCCGCCCCCAACCCACCCCCAGACCGAAAAUGUGACUCUGGAAACGGACUUGCAGAGCUGGCUUCGGUUUAUAUGCGGUUCUGACCCCUGUUGACUUUAGGACAAGCCUUCCUGUUUCCAGUACUGCAGCAUCGCCAGACAGCCUCGCCAUGCAAUCGGCUUUCCAGAUACGAUUUCACUCCUCACCAAAGACACUUCUUUAGGGCGAUUUUAGGAUUCUAUCAACGCUAGUAAAGGAACUACUUAAACACGUUGAUUUGUAUCGCCUUCCCUGACUAUGAAACAUUGAAGUGGAAUACUACUCAUCAAUAAAAAAAAUAUAAACUCCUGAUACACCUCAUGGAUGGAUGCAUAGAUGGAUGGAUGGAUCUGAAAAACAUCGUGCUGAAUAAAAGAAGCCAGACAUGAAAGAAGUGAAACCCGUUAAAAUGGAAGUGUGUAGGAUUUGGGUUGGCUGGAUGCAAGCUUCCCUCUGCAGCGGGAUGAGGCUGCCACUACCAGGAGCACGCUGGCCUGCCGGCGGGAGGAACAGAUGCCAGAGGAGACCUGACUGUGUCCUCAAGGCCAUGCCCCAUCAGCCAUCCCAGCAGAGCCCACAGCCACCCACAGAGGAAUGAGGAUCCCCAUCCAGGAUCACCGGAACUGCACAACUGACUCACAAACGUGUGAAGAGUAAUGGGUAACGUGUUGAACUGUGAGCCUUUGAGCCUGGGGAGGUUUGUGAUGCAGCAGUAGCUCCCAGACCCUUGAGGCUCUUCGGCACGAAGGUGCUGAGCCAUGCACCUAUGCAAAGCCAAACUCUGCACUAGGCCUACUGGGGUGUGCAGAGAGAGAGGGCUGAACAAACUGCGGUUCCACCCAGAAGACCCAGAAGAACAUUUACGGAGGAGUCAGUGCAAGAGGCGAGAGAGCAUGCGUGAAGAGGCUCGUUCUUGUGGUGUAGAAAAGGAGGCCAGAGUCUCCCAGACCACGAUUCUUUUCCUUUAGGUGUUUCUUGGGCAUUUUCAAUCUUAAAUCUCUUCCCAUGUUAUUGAGAUUUCUGAUUGAAUGUCCCCAUUUUCCCUCAGACAGCAGGCCGUGUGUGAGUCACCACCUCCAUCUUUCUAUGUCCUGGGUGUGGGCCCAGUGAAGGACAGUUAUGGAAAUUUAGAGAGAAGAGGUCGCAGGUGUGGUGGGGGUGGUGAAGCUUCAGAAGAGAAAAGAAGCAUGGUGGAGAGGGUGGACUCUGGAGGCUACUGCAGAGCUCUCCCCCAGGCUAUGAGGGGGCAUGAUGGUCCCAAUAGCCUGAGUCUGUGUUCAUUUCAACUGGCUACCUUGUGACGAGGAAGAUGGCCCAGGUUCCCAGUGGGAAAUCUAUGGUUAUCAUUAAGAACGCAGGGCCUGAGAUGAAACCUGGCAGGUGAAAGGCACCUGGUUUUAUGCAACCUGGUUUUGCAGAAGCCUGUGGGAGGGGGCCCAGGGGGGAAGGGAGCAGAGGGCAGUGUUGGCUCUGGUUCCCCCACCAGGCAGGUGGGCUAGCACCUGGGUAAGGGGCUUUGCAUCUGGAGCUGGUCAUGCCUCAGUCCAGAUCCUGCCUUUAUCAGUUGAUGGGCUGUUACCUGCCAGUGGUUAUGGUGAGGACUAAAUUACGGAAAGUCAUCAAGGAUCUUCAUUCAUUGCCCACCACAGAGCAGGCACUCAAUGGAGAACACUCACCACCAUCUAUGUUGUUAAUGUUGCAUCUGCAGCCCUUGGUUUCCUGGAAAGACUCUACAGUACAGGGGCAGGUUAGGGGCCACAACCAGGAAACAAGACACAUCUGAGAGAAUGCAUGGGAGCUUAUGGAAGGAUGUACAAGGCUGGGUGUGGGAAUCCCGGCACUUCGGGAGGCUAAGGUGGAAGGAUCACUUGCAUCCAGGAUUCAAGCCUAGCCUGGCCACGUAGUGAGACCCCAGCUCUACAAAAAAUCAAAAAUCAACUGGGCAUGGUGGCAUGUGCCUCUAAUCCAAGCUACUCAGGAAGCAGAGAUGGGAGGAUCGCUUGAGCCCAGGAGGUUGAGGCUGCAGUGAGCUGAGAUCAUACCACUGCACUCAUUCUGGGCAACAGAGUGAAACCCUGUCUCAAAAAUAUAAAUAAAUAAAUAAAUAAAUAAAUAAAUAAAGAAAGAAAGAAAGAAAGAAAGAAUUUACAAGAGGGGAGUUUUAGUGGUUGAAAAAUCAUUCACUCAUUCCAGGAGCAAGAGCCUUGUGGGUUUUCUUCCUGUUCUUGCCUGGGUUAUCUCUACUGAACCAAAGAAUCCUUGUUAGGAAUGCUCUGGUGGUGUCAAUCAAUGCGUUUAUAAAUCAUUUGCUUUUACCAUGGAAAAAGAUAUCACAAAACAACACAGCUGUAGUGCAGGUGCAGAUGACCAUGGAACGGCAGCCUGGCGUUUUCAGUAGAGCACUGGGCAGCAGAGUCCCUGGGCCUCGGAACCCCGGCCUGUUACCACCCAACACCAUCCCUGGGCAAAAUGCGAAACUCCCAUCAGAUCCAUGAAUGGAAAAUGGGCGUAAUUAUAAUUGCACCCCACUCUCUACCUCUCAGCUAAGGUGAGAAAUGAAUAUGAGGAUGCUCAGUGAAAAUGCUUUGAAGUCUGUGAAAUGCGAAGCAAAUGUGAAGCGAGAGGAAUAAUAAGGUUCUAAGGACCCACACUUGGGCGUUUGCUCUGAGCUGGCCCCUGUCCUCCACACUGAACCUACAGCCUCUCCUCUCACCUAAUCUGCACAAAAAUCUUACGAAGCAGACACACUUACCAUGCUGGCCUUUCCGUGAAAUUUCAGGUCUUAGUGUCGCCCAUUACUGGUGGCAUUUCAUGCCACAAGUUGGGCCAUCUGCACCUCCAAGCACAGGGUCACAGAAGACUUUAUCCCGUCCCUUGGGCUGACUGAAUGGUUGGUUUGUGUCAACCCCUGUUGUCCCUUUGAGCAACUCGGGGGCAAUGGUUAUGGGUAGGGCUUAAAAAACCGUCUGGCUGCAAACCCAGUGCUGAUACGAACAAGGCCUAGUCAGGCACUAAGUGUUUUGUGUUCCCCAAAGAGAUCUUAAUGAAAUCCCAGCAUGCCACUCACUCCUACACUUAAAAUACCUUUUAAGUGUAGGAAAGAAAGUGCUUUCAACCCCACCCCAGCCAUUUGGAUUCGGAGACUCCAUUUAAGAUGCACAGCUUUCCUCCAGCACAGGGGCUGGGUAUCCAAACGCAGAGCCUCCCCCAGACUCUCUCUAGGCUUAGCCUGGCUUGGUGGGCUCAGGAGGGAUUCAAGAUUAUUUCAUCCUUUAUGUCCAUUCGAUGACAGUUUAUCAUCAUUGCCACCUCAUACUCUAUUGUAGCCAAACAUCAUAACCAGCACCAUGUGAACUACGUCACUGACGCCACAUUCUUUUUCUCGGCUGUCACUAGGCUCAGGUCAGGACAGCCCUCCCGGCUGACUUCCGCGAUACUUUCUGUAUCUCCUUUUCAGUCUGCCCUAAAAUGACAGCUGGACUUCCGACAGUGGUUUCUUAUGUGGGACACAUGGCUCUUAUACUCUGGGUGGCACGGAUUCCUUUAUUGCCAGUGGCUUAAUUUUCCCAGAUCUAUUUCCAUGCAGACAGUGUGAGGUUGGACUUCAUGCCUCAUGCUCCUGAUUGGGGCUCGGAAGUCUAACCCAGCUUCCUGCAGUGCCGCCCCCAGCUUAUUCAAUGCCCAACCUGCAGGUCCUAAGUUGAACCCGCACACUGCACGCUCACCUGGUCUGUGCUGCCAGCUGCAUUGGAAAUGGAAGCAUUAAACACCGUUCUCCACUGUCAGCCACCUGCUAGCUAAUGAGUGACAUCAUUUAACACUGUUUUGAAAAGAGAGAUUUAAAGUUGUUUUGAAAACUGAAGGAAAAAUACAAAUGUUUGAGUGUUAAACAUUUUGCCCAAAUACUAAAAUGUGAAUGUCUUUUUAUUGUGACAGUUCACAGGAAAGCGGGCUAUAGCAUGCCUGUGCUUGUCAAUGAAAAUCUUAGCACUGAGUUUGGUAAACAUUCUGGCAGUCGGGAAGCCACUUAAAAAUAAAGUUUAAAGAAAAGAAAGAGAAGUGUUCACUUUCCUUCUAAUUUUCCCAGAUACGCUCAAUAUUCUGCUUUAUUUUUUAGUAUUUUAACUAAAAUAAGAAAACUCGGAUUCUACCUCUAUGUGUCCUAUGAUUGUUGUUGUUUUCUCUGAUUAUAAAAUACAGGUUUGCAGCAGAAAACUUGGCAAAACAGAGAUAUGAAGAAUAAAAUAAAAAUCACCUGUAGUUCUAAGCCAUGAGAAUAAUCAUAUAUAUAUUCCCUAGGUAUUCUGAAGCAUAUGUAUUACAGUCCAAAUAUUUAAAAACAAAAUUUGGGUAAUACUUUAGAUAGAGAGUUGUAUUCUGAUUUUUUCUAUUAAUAUUAUAACUUUGAAACGAGGGACUUCACCAUUGCUUUUAUUUUUCUUUGCUAUGUAAGUACUUAUGUUCUUUAUGAGGAAAAUAAAAACUAUAGAAAAGAAAGAUAAGAAAAUAAAAUCAGUAAUAAUCCCCUCACUUACAAAUGACUGCUGUUAACAUUUUAGUUUUUUGGUUUCUAUCUAUUUAUGUGAAAUUUGAAUGAAAAUAGUAUAAUUUCGCUGUCUCUAUAUUGCUUGGUAACAUAAUGAUUUAACUGUAUAAUAAAUAGUAUAUUACAUGAAUAUUUUGAGUAAUAGUCUGUGUGAUAAUUUUUAUUCGGUGUGUGGUGUUCCACUACAUAAAUGUAUUAUAGUUUAUUUCACAAAUAAACUCUUAUCAGAAACUUAUGUUGUCGUUAAUCUGUGAUUUAUAAUGAAGCUAUAAACAUAACUUUUAGCUAAAUAUUUAUGGAUACCCUUCAUUAUUUAUUUCCUAAAUAGUAGAAGUAGAAUUUUAUGGUCAAAUGAUAAAGACAUGAUUUUCUUACAUUCAGGAGAUAUUCUAUUAUAUGGCUCUACCAUAAUUUAUUUAUUUAUU
rnacentral:lncRNA from 10 species